UUUCUUGCUAAAUUGGAAUGCAAACUAUUUUAGUUGCUAAAGAUGAAAUAUAAAAUAUUUUAGAAAGCCACCACACCCAGCCCAAAAUUCAUAUAUUGAAGCUUUACCCCCCAGUACCUCAGAAUAUGACUAUAUUUGAUGAUAGGGGCUUGAGAGAGGUGAUGAAGUUAAUCAUGUCUUUGAUCUUGGAUUUCCAGCCUGCAGAACCGUGAGGAAAUAAAUUUCUGUUAUUUAAGCCACCUAGUCUGUGGUAUUUUGUUAUGUCAGGCCUAGCAAACUAAUACAUGCCCCAAAGUGACAAUUCUGGAAACGUUAGACUGGUCAAUUUACAGCGGAUUAAAGUGUACACCAAGUGUCAGUCAGUUUAAUAAUUUACAUUGGGAUUACACUGGGAUUAUUUACUGGGAUUCCAGGCGUGAGCCACUGUACUCGGCCCAAAAUUUGUAGUCUGGAUGUUCUAAAACUGUUAUGUUGCUACUCUUUCUGAAAAAUAUGUCUGUUUAGUGGUAGAAGGCUAACAUUUCUUUGCUGUUAAACUUGAAGCUAAUUUAUUCUCUUUCAAGACACAUUUUAUUAAAGGAAGGUCAAGAGAA
rnacentral:lncRNA from 1 species